CGGUUAAAUCCUUUACGAAGAAAAGUCAACAGAAAUGUCAAGGGUUUGAAGAAACAAAGAAAAUGCAGAGGAAUGCUGAAAUGUUAGAGACAGCAAUGAAAGAUGAGGAGGGACUAGGCGAUGACGGAGAACCAGAGACCACAGGAAUAUCGGUUUCUGAAACGAUAUCACCAGGGAUGUUUGGAUGGUGGGAAGGUAGACAAGAACUGUGCCCGAGUGGGGUGCCACGUUAUUUGGCAUACAUAGUUCAGUUCAGCCCUUCAGGGGAAACAGAAAUGGACUCGGCUCACUCUGAUUUUGAGGCGCCAUGGUAGACACCCUUGCUAAAUAAUAAUGGCCAGAGUCCCCCGUGUGUGGUGGCCCCAGCACAUAUCCAGGGGAAGGAGCGUAGCCUCAGGAGUCUGACAGACCUGGAAUUGAAUCCUGAGUCCCCGCUGUCAUGUCAGCUACCUGCUCUCCAGGCUUACACAAUGCAGUAGCAGGAAAGGUUGACAUUGGGGAGCCCAGGGACUGUCUGGGCUUCCCUUGCACAGGCUUACAGAUCCCCUAGUCUUGACUUGGGCCUCCUCCUCGUGAAAUAAUUACAGAGGGCCAAGUAAGAAUGAAACGGUCGGUGAGAAAAAAAGUAUACUUCAGGGAAGCGAGUACUGCACCGGGAGUCAGGAUACUCGGGCCAUUAACUGUGGUGUUUCCACGGGCAGCAUUAUGUUCUUACUGAGAAGAAUGCAAAUCCUUCAGAGCAGAGGAGACUGUCCCAGUCAUCUAAACAUGAUGGAGCGUCUUAGAAGGAAAAAAGUUAGUUCUUAUUGCUGUCAUGUUUAAUUCCAAAUAUAAAAUAAAGUUGAUAGUUC